UACGUAGGGUGCAAGCGUUAAUCGGAAUUACUGGGCGUAAAGCGUGCGCAGGCGGUUUUGUAAGACAGAUGUGAAAUGCCCGGGCUUAACCUGGGAACUGCAUUUGUGACUGCAAGGCUAGAGUGUGUCAGAGGGGGGGUAGAAUUCCACGUGUAGCAGUGAAAUGCGUAGAUAUGUGGGAGGAAUACCGAUGGCGAAGGCAGCCCCCCUGGGAUAACACUGACGCUCAUGCACGAAAGCGUGGGGAGCAAACGAGG
rnacentral:rRNA from 1 species